UACGAGGGGUGCAAGCGUUAUUCGGAUUUAUUGGGCGUAAAGGGUGCGUAAGUGGUAUGUUAAGUCUGUUGUUAAAUUUUCCGGCCUAACCGGAAGCCUGCAAUGGAAACUGGCGUACUUGAGGAUGGAAGAGGGAAGUGGAAUUCUCGGAGUAGCGGUAAAAUGCGUGGAUCUCGAGAGGAACACCGAUGGCGAAGGCAGCUUCCUGGUCCAUAUCUGACACUGAGGCACGAAAGCGUGGGGAGCAAACAGG
rnacentral:rRNA from 1 species